rnacentral:lncRNA from 1 species
GCUGAAAAGAAGGAAAAUCCAAAAACGAUAACAAGUAUAUCAUAAAGUUCUAGAAACCAUAACAUAUACUAUAGCGAACCUAAUAACAAUCAUAUGUGAAACGAUGGAACUAUUUUGACAAGAUUAACCAUACAUCUUAUAGUACAAGGACAAUAAUCCACAUAGCAAAUUCAAAUCAUCCGUUUAAGUCGAACCCUUUCCUUUCCCAUCACACUUCACAAUUCAUUUUCCCUUGCCGAAAGCCAAGUGCAUUGAUAUGUCCACGUCUCGUUUCUCGCUUAUUCGAGCUGGCUUGUCAAAGAUGCUUGGCAACUCUUCAUCUUCCUCGUUGGGCUCAUGAUUCACCGCUUCAUGAAUAGAACUCGACUCCCUACUUAAAACUUCUUCUUUCACCCAAUCAAAAUAUCCACAAUAAUUACUACAAGUGAAGAAGAAUCGCCCUUUGUUACUAGUUUUCUAUUCGAUCUCAAAACAUUUUCGAUAUCCUUGUUUACACGAAGGGCAUUGUCGUUUUUUUGGUAUUGUCUAAAGUAGUGAGUGUUGCUUCUGCAACCGUGACAAAAACCCCGAAUUCCUUCCUCUCAUUCUAGUCGAUAACUGCUGAACAAACAAAUAAACAAUAAUUAAUGCAAUUCAAUUACAA